GGAGAGGUGGCCGAGUGGCUGAAGGCGGUGGUUUGCUAAACCAUUGUAGGGUUCUUUCCCUACCGAAGGUUCGAAUCCUUUCCUCUCCG
rnacentral:tRNA from 1 species